UACGUAGGGGGCUAGCGUUGUCCGGAUUUAUUGGGCGUAAAGAGCGUGUAGGCGGCCAAGUAGGUCCGGUGUGAAAACUCGAGGCUUAACCUCGAGAUGUCAUCGGAAACCAUUUGGCUAGAGUCCGGAAGAGGAAAGUGGAAUUCCUGGUGUAGCGGUGAAAUGCGCAGAUAUCUGGAGGAACACCGGUGGCGAAGGCGGCAUCCUGGACCGGCAUUGACGCUGAGGCGCGAAAGCCAGGGGAGCAAACGGG
rnacentral:rRNA from 1 species